AGAGUUUGAUCAUGGCUCAGAUUGAACGUUGGCGGCAGGUUUCAUACAUGCAAGUCGAACGAGUAAUCACCCUUCGGGGUGUGCGCUAGUGGCGGACGGGUGAGUAACGCGUAGGAAUCUACCUAGUAGUGGGGAAUAACGUCAGGAGACUGAUGCUAAUACCGCAUACUACCUAAGGGUGAAAGCGGGGGAUCUUUUGACCUCGCGCUAUUAGAGGAGCCUGCGUUAGAUUAGCUUGUUGGUGAGGUAAUGGCUCACCAAGGCGACGAUCUAUAGCUGGUCUGAGAGGAUGAUCAGCCACACUGGAACUGAGACACGGUCCAGACUUCUAGGAAGGCAGCAGUAGAGAAUAUUGCACAAUAGGGGAAACCCAGAUGCAGGCAUGCCGCGUGUGUGAUUGAAGGCCCUUUGGGUUGUAAAGCACUUUCGAUGGUGAAGAGAGCCGGCGCGCUAAUACCGCGAUCC
rnacentral:rRNA from 1 species